rnacentral:rRNA from 1 species
UACAGAGGGUGCGAGCGUUGUUCGGAAUUAUUGGGCGUAAAGCGCUUGUAGGCGGCACGUCAAGUCGCGUGUGAAAUCCCCAGGCUUAACCUGGGAAGUGCGCGCGAAACUGACGAGCUUGAGUGCCGGAGAGGGUCGCGGAAUUCCCGGUGUAGAGGUGAAAUUCGUAGAUAUCGGGAGGAACACCAGUGGCGAAGGCGGCGACCUGGACGGACACUGACGCUAAGACGCGAAAGCGUGGGGAGCAAACAGG